rnacentral:rRNA from 1 species
AGAGUUUGAUCCUGGCUCAGAUUGAACGCUGGCGGCAGGCCUAACACAUGCAAGUCGAACGGUAGCAUUUCUAGCUUGCUAGAAGAUGACGAGUGGCGGACGGGUGAGUAAUGCUUGGGAACUUGCCUUUAGGAGGGGGAUAACAGUUGGAAACGACUGCUAAUACCGCAUAAUGUCUACGGACCAAAGGGGGCUUUUAGCUCUCACCUAAAGAGAGGCCCAAGUGAGAUUAGCUAGUUGGUAAGGUAAAGGCUUACCAAGGCGACGAUCUCUAGCUGUUCUGAGAGGAAGAUCAGCCACACUGGGACUGAGACACGGCCCAGACUCCUACGGGAGGCAGCAGUGGGGAAUAUUGCACAAUGGGGGAAACCCUGAUGCAGCCAUGCCGCGUGUGUGAAGAAGGCCUUCGGGUUGUAAAGCACUUUCAGUUGUGAGGAAAGGUUGGCAGUUAAUACCUGCCAGCUGUGACGUUAACAACAGAAGAAGCACCGGCUAACUCCGUGCCAGCAGCCGCGGUAAUACGGAGGGUGCGAGCGUUAAUCGGAAUUACUGGGCGUAAAGCGCACGCAGGCGGUUUGUUAAGCUAGAUGUGAAAGCCCCGGGCUCAACCUGGGAUGGUCAUUUAGAACUGGCAGACUAGAGUCUUGGAGAGGGGAGUGGAAUUCCAGGUGUAGCGGUGAAAUGCGUAGAUAUCUGGAGGAACAUCAGUGGCGAAGGCGGCUCCCUGGCCAAAGACUGACGCUCAUGUGCGAAAGUGUGGGUAGCGAACAGGAUUAGAUACCCUGGUAGUCCACACCGUAAACGCUGUCUACUAGCUGUUUGUGAAUUUAAUUCGUGAGUAGCGAAGCUAACGCGAUAAGUAGACCGCCUGGGGGAGUACGGGCCGCAAGGUUAAACUCAAAUGAAUUUGACGGGGGCCCGCACAAGCGGUGUAGCAUGUGGUUUAAUUCGAUGCACGCGAGACCUUACCUACCCUUGACAUGCAGAGACCUUUCCAGAGAUGGAAUGGUGCCUCGGACUCUGACACAAGUGCCUGCAUGGCUGUCGUCAGCUCGUGUUCUGGAAUUGUUGGUUAAGUCCCGCCACGAGCGCACCCUUGUCCUUAGUUGGCAGCAUAGUGCCACCUCUAGACUGCCGGUACAAACCGAGAAGGUGGAACA